AUUGAACGCUGGCGGCAGGCUUAACACAUGCAAGUCGAGCGGAGCGAGGGUGCUUGCACCUUAGCUUAGCGGCGGACGGGUGAGUAAUGCUUAGGAAUCUGCCUAUUAGUGGGGGACAACAUUCCGAAAGGGAUGCUAAUACCGCAUACGCCCUACGGGGGAAAGCAGGGGAUCUUCGGACCUUGCGCUAAUAGCUGAGCCUAAGUCGGAUUAGCUAGUUGGUGGGGUAAAGGCUUACCAAGGCGACGAUCUGUAGCGGGUCUGAGAGGAUGAUCCGCCACACUGGGACUGAGACACGGCCCAGACUCCUACGGGAGGCAGCAGUGGGGAAUAUUGGACAAUGGGCGGAAGCCUGAUCCAGCCAUGCCGCGUGUGAGAAGAAGGCCUUUUGGUUGUAAAGCACUUUAAGCGAGGAGGAGGCUACUAGUAUUAAUACUACUGGAUAGUGGACGUUACUCGCAGAAUAAGCACCGGCUAACUCUGUGCCAGCCGCCGCCGUAAGAC
rnacentral:rRNA from 1 species